rnacentral:SRP_RNA from 1 species
CGAGAGGUCGGCGCGGGCAGGCGCCUCGCCAACCUGGUCAGGUCCGGAAGGAAGCAGCCACAACGAGCCCCGUCUGGGUCGUGUCCGGCCUCUCACCC